AUCCUAGGCAACCCACAGCCAGUCAGGUCCACAGCAAGGCUUAACUACCAUGUUCACAUUUUUUUAAGAUACAUUUUCUAUUUGUUUGGGUUUUGUUUUGAGACGAGUCUAUGUAGCCCUGGCUGUCCUGGAACUCACCAGUCAGAGAUCCCCCACCUCUAUCUCCAGAGUGCUGGGUCCAAAGGCCACCACACCCAGCCACUCAAGAGGCUGAGGCACUCAAGAGGAUUGACUUUGAGGCCGUCCUGGACUACACAGCUCAGAAAGCUGAACCGUACACAACGGAUUUUUCCUGAAGGUACAAGGACACCCCCUAAACAGUGAGCCAUUUCAGAGCGACUCAGCCCAGGAAAGCUCUAAUUGAAAGGAAGGAUGGGAAUCUGGAGCUGAGUGGUGGUGCACCUGACUUCCAAGUCUCGGGAGGUGAAGGCAGGACACUCAGGGGCUGGGAGCUGGACAGUGACCUGUGCCACCUAGUGAGGCCUCUGGAGAGCACUUGGCAAACUGUGCAAGGCCCUGGGCCCCGGUCCCUGCGCCACAAAAAUAAAGUCUAAAGUAUGUUUGGAAGCAGCAUGGUCCAAGCUCCAGCCCAGCCAUGAAUGGGAUCAAGAAAAUGAGACUGGAGAGGUGAUUUAGUGGGGAAGGCUUGCUGCGGGCAAGCAGGGGGAGCCACACUGGCCGGCCCUGACCCCAGCCCUGUCCAGUGGAAACCCUGAACUCCAGAGUUAGUGAGCGAUCCGGUCUCAAAAUGUAAGGUGGUGGGUGAAAGACACCACCUCUGGCCUCUGGACACACACGCAGGAGUGAGCUUAUCUACACACACACUCACACGCGCGCACACGCGCACACACACCACGCACACACACCACACACGCAUACACACGUACGUACACACGCACACACUCAGUGUAAAAAGUCAGCCCACGUGGCUCUAGAAUGGCUGCUGCUCCCCCAUAGCACACUGCCUCACCAACUCCACAUUAGAGUCCAGAACUUUCCCGAAAGAACGAGAUCCUUACAAAUAUCUCUCCAGAUCGUGCGUUAACAGAUAUGUAGACUUGUUUCCGUUGUCACUGUCUCUCUUUUUGAGAUAUUGUCAACACCUAAUUGUCAAUGUCUUUUAAGAAAUGUUCUUAACUAUGUACCCCAGUCCGGGUUGGAACUCAGUGAUCCUGCUGCCUCAGCCUUCCUGAUACUGAGAUGACAGGCGAGCCUGAACACCAAAAUGUGAAUUUUAUAAAAUUAAUGCUUUUUGAAAUGUUUUCUAGGGGGCUGGAGAGAUGACUCAGUGGUUAAGAGCACUGGCGGCUCACAACUGUCUGUAAUUCUAGUUCCA